GACUUUAAGGAUCGGGAGACGCGAAGGACUGAAGGACGCGGUCUCUGGCCCUGUAUUUUGGGAAUUGGACGGAUUGACAGGAAUGGAAACUGGAAGUGCAAAUCAAGAAAAAGCACUGGAAGAGGAAAGCACUGAAAAGAAAAAAGAAGUAGAAAAAAAGAAAAGGUCUCGGGUAAAACAGGUGCUUGCAGAUAUUGCAAAGCAGGUGGACUUCUGGUUUGGAGAUGCAAAUCUUCACAAGGAUAGAUUUCUUCGAGAGCAGAUAGAAAAAUCUAGAGAUGGAUAUGUUGAUAUAUCACUUCUCGUGUCAUUCAACAAAAUGAAAAAAUUGACCACUGAUGGAAAGUUAAUAGCCAGAGCACUGAAAAAUUCAGCUGUUGUAGAGCUGGAUUUAGAAGGCACCAGAAUCAGGAGAAAAAAGCCUCUGGGUGAAAGACCAAAGGAUGAGGAUGAGCGGACUGUGUAUGUGGAAUUACUUCCCAAAAAUGUUAAUCACAGCUGGAUUGAAAGGGUAUUUGGGAAAUGUGGCAAUGUUGUUUAUAUAAGUAUACCACAUUAUAAGUCUACUGGAGAUCCAAAGGGAUUUGCCUUUGUGGAAUUUGAGACAAAAGAACAAGCAGCAAAAGCUAUUGAGUUUCUUAAUAACCCACCAGAGGAAGCACCAAGAAAACCUGGUGAAUUUCCCAAGACAGUGAAAAACAAGCCCAUUCCUGCCCUUAGAGUAGCUGAAGAAAAGAAAAAGAAAAAGAAGAAGAAAGGCCGAAUGAAGAAAGAAGACAGUAUCCAGACCAAAGAGUCAAAUAUGGACCCAAGCAAGGAAAGCGUCUGUAAAAAAAAGGUCGAGGACCACAUCUGAGGGCUCUGAAGUAGAGGUUACUGAAGCCCAAAAGCCACCCACAAAGAAAAAGAAAAAACGAGAAAGAACUGAAGUAUCCAGCUUCCCUUUAGGCAAAACAGGGAAGAGAAAGAGAAGUAGCUCUGAAGAUGCAGAUUACCUAACUCCCAAAUCAAAACUUAAAGUGGCUCAGAAAGACAUUAAAAAAGCUUCAGAAGUUUGUAAAGAAAACAAAGAAUUAGAAGUCUCUACUGAAGAGGAAAAAGACACUGGAGAUAUAAAAGAUGGAUCCCUCUUGAAAGCAAAAAGAAAGCAUAAGAAAAAACAUAAAGAGAGGCAUAAAAUGGGAGAAGAGGUUAUACCAUUACGAGUACUAUCAAAGACCCAAUGGCUGGAUUUGAAAAAAGAGUAUUUAGCACUGCAAAAAGCUAGCAUGGCUUCUUUAAAAAAAACAAUAUCCCAAAUAAAAUUAGAGUCAGAAAUGGAAACAAACCAUGGAGUACCUACUAAGUCCGAAAUGAAAAAUGAAAAAACAGACAGUGAAGAGGGUGGUCCCCAGGAGAAGGUCAAUGCAGCAGGACCACAGUUUGUGAGUGGUGUGAUUGUGAAGAUCAUUAGCGCUGAGCCUUUACCUGGCAGGAAACAAGUCAGGGAUACUUUGGCAGUAAUCUCAGAAGUUGUUUAUGUUGAUUUGCUGGAAGGAGAUACAGAAUGCCAUGCUAGAUUUAAAACUCCUGACGAUGCUCAAGCGGUAAUAAAUGCAUAUACGGAAAUUAAAAAGAAACACUGCUGGAAACUAGAGAUUCUUUCUGGUAAAACUUUAUAGAACAUUCUUUUUCAACAAUUCU